UGGAGCAUGUGGUUUAAUUCGAUGCAACGCGAAGAACCUUACCUGGGCUUGACAUCCCGGGAAUCCCCCUGGAAACAGGGAGUGCCCUUCGGGAACCCGGUGACAGGUGCUGCAUGGCUGUCGUCAGCUCGUGUCGUGAGAUGUUGGGUUAAGUCCCGCAACGAGCGCAACCCUUGUCUUUAAUUGCCAUCAUUUAGUUGGGCACUUUAAAGAGACUGCCGGUGUUAAGCCGGAGGAAGUGGGGAUGACGUCAAGUCCUCAUGGCCUUUAUGCCCAGGGCUACACACGUGCUACAAUGGGCGGUACAAAGAGAAGCAACCUCGCGAGGGUGAGCAAAUCUCAAAAAGCCGUUCUCAGUUCGGAUUGAAGUCUGCAACUCGACUUCAUGAAGUCGGAAUCGCUAGUAAUCGCGGAUCAGCAUGCCCGCGGUCGAAUACGUUCCCGGGCCUU
rnacentral:rRNA from 1 species